CCUACGGGGCGCAGCAGUGGGGAAUCUUGGACAAUGGGCGAAAGCCUGAUCCAGCCAUGCCGCGUGUGUGAAGAAGGCCUUCGGGUUGUAAAGCACUUUCAGUGGGGAAGAAAGCCUUGGGGCUAAUACCCUCGAGGAAGGACAUCACCCACAGAAGAAGCACCGGCUAACUCCGUGCCAGCAGCCGCGGUAAUACGGAGGGUGCGAGCGUUAAUCGGAAUUACUGGGCGUAAAGCGCGCGUAGGCGGUCUGAUAAGCCGGUUGUGAAAGCCCCGGGCUCAACCUGGGAACGGCAUCCGGAACUGUCAGGCUAGAGUGCAGGAGAGGAAGGUAGAAUUCCCGGUGUAGCGGUGAAAUGCGUAGAGAUCGGGAGGAAUACCAGUGGCGAAGGCGGCCUUCUGGACUGACACUGACGCUGAGGUGCGAAAGCGUGGGUAGCAAACAGGAUUAGAUACCCGAGUAGUC
rnacentral:rRNA from 1 species